UACGUAGGGGGCUAGCGUUGUCCGGAAUCAUUGGGCGUAAAGAGCGUGUAGGUGGCCAAGCAGGUCCGUUGUGAAAACUGGAGGCUUAACCUCCAGACGUCGACGGAAACCGCGUGGCUAGAGUCCGGAAGAGGAGGAGUGGAAUUCCUGGUGUAGCGGUGAAAUGCGCAGAUAUCAGGAAGAACACCAAUGGCGAAGGCAGCUCUCUGGGACGGUACUGACGCUGAGACGCGAAAGCGUGGGGAGCGAACAGG
rnacentral:rRNA from 1 species